AUGGAUGCUCACCACGUCAGCAUAGAGGAAACUGAAGAAUAUUACACGGUGGUUAGUCAAACAUUCACAAGCGAGGAACAAGGUUUCGAGUUCUAUAAUAGAUAUGCUAAAGCCAAAGGGUUCAGCGUGAGGAAGGCCAAUGUGAAAAACAAGGGAGGCAUAAGAAUCCAAAGGUUGUACAUGUGCAGCAAAGAAGGAUAUAGGUCCUUGAAAAACUUUGAAAGGUCCAACCGGAAAAGGAAACCAAGGGCACUCUCUCGUUGUGGAUGUGACGCUCAACUGCAAAUCGAGCUCAAUAUGGAAAACCGUGUAAACAAAUAUAACUUGCCAUUUGUCCCAUUCAUUGGAUUGAACCACCAUCGCAGCACAGUUGUCUUUGGGGUCGGCAUUGUAUCAGACGAGACCGUGGCAUCAUAUAAGUGGUUGCUCCAUUCAUUUUUGGAGGCGAUGCACCAGAACCAUCCCAGGUCCGUGAUCACUGAUGGGGACCAUGCAAUGGCGAGAGCAAUAUUGCAGGUAUGGCCGAACACAGAUCAUCGGCUUGCUACAUCCAAAGGAGAGGAGAGAGACAUACGUCUUCGGUGGGUGAUGAUCCUCGUCGACGGCCAGCAGCUGGAGUGCACGCACAUGGGGGAACACCUUUUUUCAUCCACUCUUGAAGCGACGCCAGGUGCUUGCCGUACCUGCCUUCCACCAGAGCCGACGCCGCAAUUUCUCCCAGAUGCUUCUCCUCUGCUGAUACGGCAGGAGGCAACCAGGCGGCCGCACCUUGCUCCCCCCGCCGCCAACCGUACUAGUCCAACGAGCGCCACAGAAGGGCCGGGGUCCGCCCUCCAUAGCCUCCAUCUUGGCGCCCGGCCUCGCUGGCCGGCGGCGCCGCGGGUUUUACCGGCGAUCUGGUCGUAG
rnacentral:rRNA from 1 species